GAUGAACGCUGGCGGCGUGCCUAAUACAUGCAAGUCGAACGAACAGAUAAGGAGCUUGCUCCUCUGACGUUAGCGGCGGACGGGUGAGUAACACGUGGAUAACCUACCUAUAAGACUGGGAUAACUUCGGGAAACCGGAGCUAAUACCGGAUAAUAUAUUGAACCGCAUGUUUCAAUAGUGAAAGACGGUUUUGCUGUCACUUAUAGAUGGAUCCGCGCCGCAUUAGCUAGUUGGUAAGGUAACGGCUUACCAAGGCAACGAUGCGUAGCCGACCUGAGAGGGUGAUCGGCCACAAUGGAACUGAGACACGGUCCAGACUCCUACGGGAGGCAGCAGUAGGGAAUCUUCCGCAAUGGGCGAAAGCCUGACGGAGCAACGCCGCGUGAGUGAUGAAGGUCUUCGGAUCGUAAAACUCUAUUAUUAGGGAAGAACAAAUGUGUAAGUAACUAUGCACGUCUUGACGGUAACUAAUCAGAAAGCCACGGCUAACUACGUG
rnacentral:rRNA from 1 species